rnacentral:lncRNA from 1 species
CCGGUGAGGGUGCAGCGAGCUUGGCGGACGGUGGGGCGCUCCAGCGUGCGACGACGGUUUCCGAGGCGCGGGCGCGGCACUUUUGUGGCAUUGGGCGAGGGGCGAGGCAGGGAGAGGGCGGUUCCACCUUUUGGGCGUCAUGGGCACGUGGUUUUUGGAGUAGAGAGUGAGGGGUGGUUGAAGAUGAACAGUGGGAAGGGUGGCGCUAACGCGCGGGCGACAGCGGCAUGGCGCUGCCCGUGCCGCGUACGCACGACGGCGGGCUACACUGGGCCGGCGUGCGCACAGGUCGUGCAGGGAGAGUGGGCUGCGCAUGGGGAGCGCGCGCUGAAUGGCAGGUCGUGGUAGGGCACUAGGCUGGCGCGGCGGCUUGGGCCGAGCGAGAGAGCCAGGGUGGCCUGGAGGGCCGCGCGAGCACAAGCCCAGGCAGAGGGGAGAAGAGGGACUGGGCCUAGGGAUGGCAAUGAGCACAUUUUCUCCGCGUGUCAGUGGGUAAAAAACCCUAUAGUCUAGUUUGGGUACACUCUUAUAUUAACCCCAAUCCACAUAUAUUGAGGUGGAUUGGGGUGUAACUUAAACUAAUUUACACCUCAAUCCAUCUCAACACAUGUGGAUUGAGGUUAAUACUAGAGUACCCAAACAAAGCCUAUCGGGUACGGGUUUCAGUGUGAGUUUGUACCCGUGGGUAUGGUUAUGGGUUUGAUUUGUGGGUAUAAAAAAAUUGUACAUGUGCCUGUAAACCCGUCUACCCGUAAUGAAUACGUAUAGAUAUUUUUAUAUCUUUGUUCGCUGCACCCGUCUACCGCACAAGCCGGUCCUUAGAGCAACUCUAAUAGUUAGCUAAAUUUUAGCUCUCUAAAUCACAUAUUUAGGAAGUUGCUAAAUAACUUUGGGAGGUAAAAAUUGUGAGUUCUCUAAUAGCUCUAAAUAUAGAUUGUAGUUUGAUUUUCAAUCUAAAUAUUAACUUGUGUUUGACCAGCAUUUUUAUCUCAGAAAUCUUAUGUUCCAGAUUAGUAACCUUAUUUGUUCAAGACUUUAUUGCACAAUCACGAUCAGCAUACAUGCACUCAUAAAUGAGCCUCAAGUCUAUUUUCAGUUGUAAUUUAUCUUCGGUUUCAGUUUCUCUCGCGUCUGCAUAAUAAAAUUUACAUUUUUGCAAUUCUUUUUAAUACUGGUCCGCAUCUUUUUGAUUACUAGAAAAAAACACCGUCAACCUGACAUCCUGACAAGGGCGACACUUGUCUAUGACACUACUCUCAAAGUAAAUAUGGAGUGCUAGUAGCUUGCAAAUGCUUCGCUUCACUGAUUUGAUCGUAGAUGCCAUCUUGGAGGCUUGGAACAGGGCUUUCUCGGCAUUCACGUGACUCGCGAGUGGGAAAAAAAAAAGUAGAAAUGAGAAAUUGCCAUCCUCCUUUGUUGUUUCGGAGAGUUGCUGAAUGGUUGUCAAAUAUAGAGAAUACGGUUAGAUAAAAAAUAGCUAAAUUUAUAAAGUCUAUUUAGAGAGUUGUUAGAGUUUUAAAAAUAACUACAUAAAUUAUGAUUUAUACAAUAUUUUAAAAAACUAUUGGAGUUACUCUUACAACCUUGUUUUGUUUGGUCUACCGAAAUUUAUUGGGAUAAAUUGAUCUAAGAAAUAAGUUUUGUUUGGCUGCACUCGUACCUGGUUCAAUCCAUAUGUAUUAUUAAUGUAAAUAUGUUAAAAAUUAACUAGAGAUGACUACGAAUGCAGCUAAACAAGUCCAACUGGUUUUUCAUCACAGUCGGAUAAAGGAUCAUAGUGCAGCCGAAUAAAACCGUCCGAUAAAGAGUGCAUUAUCGUUUAUGAGGCAGUAUAUAUAUAGUCAGUUACCCGUGCGUUGCGACAGCUCAUAACAAUAUCCACAUAAAUUACCACCAAAAAGAUCUCAAGAUUUUUUAUUGAUUGUCUCUGUUCUUCGCAUAAUUUUUUUAUUUGACUAACUGAGUCGACAUCGUGGUAAAGGAAAGGCCAUAUAGACAGGCGAUACCAAGCCAUCGAAUGAGUACCAUAGACAGCAAAUCAGGAACCUCCAUCCCUUGUCUUCCCCACUUCCAAGGUUUCGUAGAGCAGGAAGAGAAGGGAAGAGACAGUCAUACCUGUUCGUUGGCGAAGAAGGACACGACGAAGACAUGAACAUCUAGAGGCGAUAUAGGUAGUAUACCGCUAGAUACAUACAAGCAGAGAGCACGCAAGCGGAGAAAGAAUCUCAGCCAGAGCAGCUCCAAACCGAGAGGCGCCCGCACCAGGCUUCAGUCCGAAAAGGGCAAGAGAAUGCGAGUGCCUUUCAGACCUGGACCCGCCGAGGCGACACAACACCACCACCAACUCCGUAGCAUAUACCGACUCCUGCCGCACUACGGGCCUUGGUUGUCCAAUAUCUCAGAUCUGAACUCGUCAUCGCCAAGAUAACCUAAGCGUGGCAGGCGCCAUCGUGUCCUCCUCGGCGGCACGCACGAAGAAAAGCCAGGAGCAAGACCGACUCACCCGUACCCGCGUCGAUGAGCGUCGUCGGCUUGCGGCUGCGACCGUGGAUAGGGGCAGCAGUUUGGGGAGGAAGAACAGGGCGAAGGCUGGGAAGACGAACGGGAUGUCCGAUGACGGCGAAAACGAUGGUGCGUGCAUGCUGUGAAACACCCUCAUGGACGUGUAAUAUCCACUGCGAGUCGGUGUCGGGGCUGGUGUCGGACGAAUACGGGGAGGAGGUGCCUACUCCCACACCCUCUGCCGAGAAUGGAUGGCGUGGAGGUGGAAGGCAUGCGGGGAGAGAGAAAAGAAGCAAGAUAACGAAUGAGGUAGCGACAACUGAGGCGAUGACCAUCAUUAUCGUGCGAGGUAUAGAUGGCCAAAUAGGCCGUGUCUGGCGAGCUGGUCUAGGGCACGACUUAUUUAAUAGUGUCUGGGCCAGCCCAACACUAUCGUCGUGUCAUGCUUGGGCCGUAGCCUCAACACGUAAUGCUGAUCCGGUCCGACACGGUUAUAUAUUUUUUUAUUUUACAAAACUCGUAUAUACAUAUAUACAAUUUAUAUUCAAUAUUGAAAACAAUUAACUAUGAUGUUCUACUGGUUAGUUGGCUUCACUCAUUGUCUCCUGCCCUUCUUCGAUUAGGGCUUAUGUUCGAACCCCAACUCCUGCACCACUUUUUUCUAAUAUUUUACGCUAAUUUAACCACCCAAUUGGCUAACGGGCCGGACGUGGAGGUUGUGUGCAUGUAGGGAUGCAACGGGUUAAUUUGAGAUAGAUGUAAGGGGUUAUUUAUAAAAAUAUGACGCAGAACGACCGUUGAAACUGGUGCUUUAAGUGUAUAUAUAUAUAUAGGGACGAACUAAUGGAAGCCCAGGGCUUCCAUUAGUACGGGAAGCCCCAGCCAGGUAUACCUACGCGCAGGUAGGCGUGCAUCCGAUCGUGCACGGUUCUGGUUCAGGCAGAUUUUAGCGUAAAUCGUGAACCAAACCAACGUAAAUUAGUACGAAUUUUAGCGUAAAUCGUAGAUCUAUUUCAUAACGACGAAUGGGGCCAAUCAUUACGGCGUAAAAAUCGCGCGCUUCUGAUCGUGCGCGGGUUAUGGAUCGGGCGAAUUUUUGCGUAAAACGUGAACCAAAGCAGCGUAAAUGGGUAUGAAUUUUAGCGUAAAUCAUAGAUCUGUUUCGUAACGGCGAAUGAGACCCAAAAAUUACGGCGUAAAAAUCGCGCGCGUCCGAUCGUGCGCAGGUUCUGGCUCGGACGAUUUUUUUGCGUAAAACGUGAAGCAAAACAACGUAAAUGUGUACAAAUUUUAGCGUAAUCGUAAAUUUGUUUCAUAACAACGAAUGUGGCCCAAAAAUUACGCCGUAAAAAUCGCGCGCUUCUGAUCGUGCGCGGGUUAUGGCUCGGGCGGAUUUUUGUGUAAAAUGUAAUCCAAAAUAGCGUAAAUAGGUGUGAAUUUUAGCAUAAAUCGUUGAUCUGUUUCGUAACAAAUUACAGAGUUUAAAUCGCGCAUGUUUAGCGUUAGUUUCCGUGCAUGUCGCAUAGAAGUUUUUGAACGUAUAACACAUCGACAAGACCAUUUAUUAUGUAACAACCAAAAGGCAACACAUGGUUCAGAUCUCAAAAAUAAGAAACCUGUCAUUUCAUAUCCGUGAACCCAUAAAUGAUAUACAAAAUAUCCAUCAUGAGCGACACAAUGAUGGUCAGGAUGUUAAAAAGAUCCAUCAUUCAUGUCGCACAUAAAUAUAACAAAGAUGGUAGAUGUCAUGCCAUAAAUCAUGUCAAUAUAUGUGCAUGCUGAACCAAUAACAGAAAACACAAUUGAAAAAACAAAAUCAUCAUAACACUUGGCUUCUGCUAUAAAAAUGCUUCUUAUGCUUCUUUGUAGCCUAUACAUAGUUCCUCCAUAUGCUUUUAUGAUUCCUGAAAGAAAUAGGAUAAGUGAGAUGAAAAUAAAAGAAUACGGUCCAAAACUUUAGUAACUUACUUCUUUAUCCUCUAACAUUUCUUUAGAACAAUUAUUAUACAUUUCUAGUACCACAAUCGAGCCAUACAAAAAUUUUAAAGCCCAAUGUUUUCCUGUUUACCCCAUGAAAAGGAAGAACACGAUGCCAAAUAAACGCGCGCGCACACACACAAUGGAUAGAAACUUGACUGAGUUCAGCUACAUGCAUCUCCAUGGACACUCUCAAUUCCAUUUCUGCUAUAAAUUGCAAAGUAAGUACCAAAUGCCACACCAGAAAAUACAUAGAGGAAAUGAAAGUGCAUAGUAGCUGCUCAAGUAUAUAAUAAACCAUUAUGUUGCUAGCAUUUCAGACAGAAGAUAAAAGAAAAUAUCUAAUACCAUGAUAAUGCAAACCAUUACAAUAUGUUAUAUAAUGCAUGAUGAGCAACGAAGAAGACUAUUCCAGCUAGAACACAAGCUUCAAUUGCUUGUGGAUAGAUGAUGCCAGCAACAUAAAUCAUAUAUAACAAGUGUUUGUUAACCAACAAAGUUGCAUAUCACCCAUUCGCAGGUAUCGGUUCUCAAUCAGAAUCAAAUCAAAUUUCUUACACAGCAUAAUCUAAAGGAUCUCAUCCCACAACACCAUCCAGCACCCACAAAACCCCCAUACCCAUUCAACAAAGAAUUAGGAUUAACAAAUUUACCACUUCAGAUAGCAAGAAAAAUCUUAGUGCACAUUCUUAGUUAGUUCUUACUGUUGUUAAUAAGGGCCAUCAAGCGGAGGUAAUGAAUGGUCAAUUGAUCAUAAAGCAACACACUAUACAAACCUGAUUAAGUUCUAAUAAAUAGACCGUAAAAACUUGAUGGCUUGAUAUACUAUUAAAAUUAGAAUAGGUAAGCGUAAAUAUUUCAUUAUGUCCUGGUUACCGAAUUAACUUUAACACCCAAUUUAUAUAUGUAAUGAAAUAAAACUCAUAAUAAAACCUUUUCAUCAGAAUUGUAGGUCCUCCCUUCUUAUAUUAUCACUGAUGGACUCCUUACAUAGUUGAUCAGGUCAUAAAUUUUGCUUAUUGUAGAGCAUUCAUGACUGGAUCAAAAACAAAACACAAAGUGUACAUGUAGAUAACCCUAAUUUGUCUAAUUUGUGAGACAUAAAGCUUACUGGACAUAUGCUAUAGUAAAUAAUGCAGAAGAAAUAGAAUGUCAAGACAAAAUAUGGUUCAGCAGCAAUCCUAGUCUUGUACCGAGAUUUCGGCUUUUUUGCAAAGGAGAUACGAGAUUUACAAGCACAACUAAAGGUAAGAUUUAUUCAAAAAAUGUCUGUUUUAUCUAGUAUACAACUAGAAACACAAAUAAGUCUAGUAUGCAACUAGAAGAUAGAUUAUGAAAUAAAUAAGUAGUGUUACGUGAACAUCUUUUUUGCCAUGGUUUGUAAUUGGUUGCAAAUUACAGGACUGCAUACGAUUGAAACCUGAGCUAAGCUUUGAUAGAUAAAAUACCAGCAACUAACAGGGUAGAGGUAAAAAGAACUUUUGGAGUAUCAAAAAUACUACAAGCUAGCGGCAACAAAAAAUGGGUUACUAACAUCUCUAUAACACUUGCUACAUAGGUGUUAGUUAGCCAUACAAAUUUCUAAAAUUCUAAAAAUAAAUGUAAAAUCUAGCAAUUAAAAUCAGAGGAACUCUACAUCUGCUAACAAAGGAAACAAUAAUGCCCAUUCGCACCACCAACCGUAACACCAACAUGAUUACCCAUAACCUCCAAUACCAUCAACCAAAUGACAGUUAUUUGAAAUUACUAAAAAUCAGAUUCAGUCAGAUGCAUAUGCGACAAUAAAUAAUGCAGAAAAAAUAGAAAUUAAAGUCAAGACAAAAUAUGGUUCAGCGGCAUAUUAUGCAGGUAAUCUCCAAAUUUAAAACAAAGCGAGAAUCCAUGAACCGAAAGGAUAGAGAAGCAGGAAUCCAACCAGAAACCUGUUCUCUGUCCCCUGCUCUCCUUGGGUGGGUCUACCGCUAGUAUGAUAUAGAGAUAAAGAAGCAGAAACAACUUUGUAUCGGCCUAGUCAAAGCUUGUAGGUUUGUAGCUACCAGAGAUGUGGCAUCAGACCAAAACUCCUUCAGUAAUGACAACAAGAUCGACAGACCAAACAUACAGGAUUAAAACAUAGUGGUAGUUCUGCAAAAUACCUCCGAGACCCAAUUUUAAUCACACAACACAGCUGAAACAAAAUAGCUCCAGACUGAGCAAACCAAAAAGGUUAUGUUCAAGAGAUGGCCUCCUGCAACUGAGAGCAGUAGCUCCAGACCUAUCGGAAGUUUUUUUAUCUUCAUAGGGGGCUACAUAGCACAAGGAGUUGCUGGAUCUGCUCAACGGAGGGAACGAAAUAUCUGCUCGCACAAGGUGUCAGUAAUCACAUAUUGUUUGUUUCACAUAUUAUCCAGGAUACUAAGUAUUCUUAAAAAAUAUUGAACAAUCAACCUAGUUUCCUCUCUGAAGUUCUGUGAUCCCAAUCUAUAAUUCAUUGAUUUCUCCUUUUCCAGCAGACAACAUCACUGGCUAUCUAUGCAAUGGUGCUUACUCACAUUACCCAAGCCCAUAAUAACUAAUGACUUUGAUUACUUUAGAUAAAAGGAGUGGCAAACUUACGUUAAUGAUUUCCCAUGAAAUACAAUUGGUGGAGCUAUGGCAGCAAUUAUGCAAAAACAAAUGUGGAUCUGCACCAUUCUUCAGCGCCUCUUCCCUCCUCUUGAUAUCCUACAGCCACAAAACAGAAGGCAUGAGAACACCACCGAUCAAGCACAACCACCUAAAAGUUCGUUAAUGAACUGAAUGAUCAUAAGCAACUGAUGGUAAAAACUAUGAGUACGUGGCAUAAAACAUACAUUAUAAGAAUAAAAGAUUCUAAACAUUGUGAAAGCUCAAUUAUAAAAAACAUUCUAAACAUAUUGUAUGUCAAAUAGUAGUGGAGCAGUGAAGCUUCAUCAUAUAAGCCCCAUGCGUAUAAAAAGAUUCUAAACAUUGUGAUUUGUGAAAGCCGAACUAUGCUAAACAACCAAGUUCAUCAAGGAUUGUCUAAACAAAUCUCAAAUAUAUGUGAAAAUCAACUUCACCCAAACAAAUUUUACUUAUGAAAAUGAACACAAUAUUCCGGAAUAUUACACAGUCCUUUCAAGGCAUUAGUACAUAACCCCAACAAAUGCAAUUAGGCAUUAAUUUAAGGGAAACUUGACGGCAAGUAAAACACAUGAAUAUUUUGUACAGUACAACCACCUAAUCUCUUACCCAUCAUUAAAGUAGUAGUAGUUAUAUUAUGAAAUGAAAACACCUGAGCAAAUGCCUGAAACUCACGGAGAUCAACCAGCCACCAUCGCGGUGGCGUGAAGCAUCGGGACUUCAGCAGCAACAGCUAGACGAGCGGACGGCGAUGUCCAGUUGCAUCCUACAUAGCAGCCAUAUCGCUCAAUGCUCGUGAGGCUGCUGAUCAGAUCCUCUGCCCCUCCCCUGACCCGGUGCUCCCAACGCAAAGCCGAUAGCCUUGGAAUUGGACGGAUUGGUCGGGUAGGGUUUUGAAAACGGCAUGACUGGGGUUGCUUGCAGUUCCACGCUCCGCACAUCCCCACCACCAUCAACGUUGUUGCUGCUCGCCUCCUCCAUGGCCACAGCUCCGGACCAGAGCGGGUGGAUGAACCCUAAGCAAAUGGUGGCGCUAGGGAGUAGGGCUUUGAGGUUUUGGUGGAGGACGAAAAUGGAGCGGCGACCCGGGAGGGAUUCUAGGGCGGAUAAUGGAACGAGCAGGAGGAGAUGGUGCCACGAAUAAUGGGAUGGUAGGCGAUUGUGUGACGUGUCUUGGCUGACACAUAUGGCGGUCGGUUCGGGACGUGCAGUGUUGCAUACCAGCCCGUUGAACUAGACCAGACCGCACCUUUUAGACUAGGGCUUCUUUUACUUAUUCAAAGCCCAGGGCUCUUAAUAGAUAUACUAACGAAUGAGGUAGCGACAACUGAGGCGAUGACCAUCAUUAUCAUGCGAGGUAUAGAUGGCCAAAUAGGUCGUGUCUGGCGAGCUGGUCUGGGGCACGACUUAUUUAAUAGUGUCUAGGCCAGCCCGACACGAUCGUCGUGUCAUGCUUGGGCCGUAGCCUCAGCACGUAAUGCUGAUCCGGCCCAACACGGUUAUAUAUUUUUAUUUUAAAAAACUCGUAUAUACAUAUAUACAAUUUAUAUUCAAUAUUGAAAACAAUUAACCAUGAUGUUCUACUGGUUAGUUGGCUUCACUCAUUGUCUCCUGCCCUUCUUCGAUCAGGGCUUAGGUUCGAACCCCAACUCCUGCACCACUUUUUUCUAAUAUUUUACGCUAAUUUAACCACCCAAUUGGCUAACGGGCCGGACGUGGAGGUUGUGUGCAUGUAGGGAUGCAACGGGUUAAUUUGAGAUAGAUGUAAGGGGUUAUUUAUAAAAAUAUGACGCAGGACGACCGUUGAAACUGGUGCUUUAAGUGUGUGUGUGUAUAUAUAUACAUAUUAUGAGAGGGUAUAUUAGGAGGCAUGUGCUUCGAAAUAUUAGAGGAAACCUUUGUCGACCACCCAACCUGGUUGGACCGUACCAACGAGUGUCCCUACACCCCACGCUACGAUGUAAGGUGUGUCCUCAUCCAUGCACCAGGUCAACCUCACCGACGUGUGUCGAUCAAAUUCCCGAUCCAACAACCAACCUCCCGCGUGGGAUGCAAGCCAUGAAUUGUGGUUCUGUUUUUUUUGCCAAUGGCAUAAAUAGUUCACAGAGAUAGCAUAAAAACCCACCCAACCACUAGACCACAUGCACAUGCGUGUACAUGCAUGCAGAUUCUAUUUUUAUGGUCCGAUAAUUAUGGCAGAUCGUGGUAGUUUUCAUUGCAUGUACGCAAAUUUUGGAUAACAUUUUUGUUUGCAUUCAACACGCGCAAAAAUUGGAUGGCCCCAUAAAUAUAUCAUCACUCCAAUAGCCAUGCAACUAGGAUCGUUAUAACCAGUUUAUGAUAUUUGAUGAUACUAAUUAUGCUACAUUGUAUAGAUAUUUAGCAAUUUGGUACAGUGCGUAAGAAUAUGUUUCCUACUAUAUGCGCAUAAAUUUAGGAUGACAGGAAUGUGCAAUGAAUGGAAAUUAAUUGGCAUGCAUGGAAACAAUAAAAUUUUAUUUUAAAUGUUGCAAUUCCUGCAUAAAUAUAGAAUCGCUCUAACAGCCAUGCAGCUAGGCUCGUUACAACCAUUUUAUGAUAUAUACUGAUACUAAUUAUGUGACACGAUCUUGUUAUUUAUGCAAUACGGAACGCUAUUUAUGCAGUACGGAACGGAACGCUCCACGUGGUACACUAGUAGACGCAUCUUCAGAUUCGAGCGUAAAAACCGUUAUGUGUGUAAAUACCGAGCCAUAUGAGAGAGGUUGAUAACUCUGGUGCAUUGUAUUCACAAUCCUAUUUUUAUGGUAGAUCCAAAAAUUAUGGGAGUCGAAUACAUGCAGUUUCUAUUUUUAUGCAGAUCCAAAAAUUAUAGUAGAUUGUGGGGGGUUUCCCUUGAAUGCGUACAAAUUUUGGAUGAUAUUUUCAUUUCCACUGCACGUGUGCAAAAAAAUAGCAUGACAUGAUUCAUGCAGAGCAUAAUUCUUAUACAAAGUCACAUAAAUACAUACAUCAUGUAGCAUAAUUGAUAAAAAACCUAAUAUCAUCUCAACUAACAGCCCCCGCGGGAAUUAGGGACAGUUUUAUGGCAGACGUAAAAAUCGUAUUCAUCGUCGUAAAAAUCAUCACUGGAAUGCAUAAAUAGUGUAAAUAGAAGGCAUAAAACAUAAUCAUCGAUGACAUAAACAUGGAUCUGAUAGUUCACGGCCGGAGGACGAUCCUGAGGCCGUUAGAUCAAAGGAUGCUGUCGAAGCCACCGGAUCGGAAGAGUUGGUCAUCAAAGGGCUCCAGAGCCACCCAAGCCUCACGUGGCCGCCAUCGCUAGAGACGACUGCGCGUCGCACGGCCGUCGAAGCGACCCGCGUCUCUUGUGGUCACCACUGCUGCUGCCGAAGCCUACCACGCAACCGUCGUCGCCACCGAGCCUGGGGUGUGCCGUCGUCGCUCGUCCGCUUCGAAAGUGUCGUCGCCUCUUGCUUGUCCGCCUCGGGAGCAUCGCUUUCGCUCGAUUCUGAGGGAGUGGUCGCGGGUCACCAGCCUCGGGGCGGCACCGCCGCUGGCCCCCAGGAUCACCUUCGCUCAUGCCUGAGGGAACUACCUCCGCCGUUAAAACCUAAUCCCUGGCUGUCUGGGGUGUUUUUAUAGCCACUCUAUGGCUGAACCGGAUGGCACCGUUGGGCCAGGGUUUCCUCUAGUUAUUGGAAGCCCAAGGCUUAUCAUAUAUAAACUAUAUAUAAUAUGUAUACUUAUGUGCCUGUGGUUAUACCUGUGGGUUUGUGAUACCAGUGGAUAGCGGGUAUAGAUAGUGUAUUGUACCCGUCGUGGGUAUCGAGUACGGGUGUGGGUUUGAUAUUAAACCUGCAUGUGCAGGUUUAUAAACCCUCUACCCAUGAUGUCGGCGUUUCGGACCCACGAGGACCGUCAACCGACCAGUGAAUUUGUUGCUGCGUGCCCCUGCCCAGAUGGGUUGAUGCAAGAUGGAACACAAGCGGGGUAAUGAGGCUUAUAUUAUCUUGCACCGGGGUGCUCGUAGUAGGGGUUACAAGCGUCGCGAGAGAGCGAGGGCAAGAGCGAGAGAGAGUCCGUACGUGCGUCCGUCUCUGCCUGUCUCGUCUGCCCCGCGUCCCUGCGUCCACGUCUGUUAACGUCUGUCAACGUGCCUUAGGAAGGCCCUGGACAUCCCCUUUUAUAGAUACAAGGAGAUGCCCAGCUGUACAAUGGGGUGUAGCUACGUGAUAACGUGGCUGGCGGAGAAGCGCCUUGAGCCCUGUACAUGUGUGCUAAUGUGGCUGUCGGGGAAGUUCCUUGAGCCCUGUAGAAGCAUAGCUGGCGGUGCGGCAUGGAUGUUGCUGAUGUUCCCUUGCUUCCGUAGGAGGUCAAGAGCAAUCCGACGUCAUGGGAGCACGUGGGGAACCAUCAUUACCUGCUACCGGAGUAACCUUAGAUGGGACACCGGUCUUGUUUCUUCAUAGCCUGAGGCAGCUAGCUAGGGGUAGGGUAAUGAUGUAUCCCCUGUAGCGUAGUCGGUCCGAGGCUGAGGUCGGGCGAGGCGGAGAUCUUUUCCCGAGGCCGAGGCCGAGGCCUGAGGUCGGGCGAGGCGGAGCUCCCUGUUGCGCCCGAGGCCGAACUCGUGGGAGAUCGUGACUCAGUUUUACCCUGAUGGUUGGCACAGUAGCCGGAGCGGGGCGAACAGUGUUGUUUUCCUGUCAGAUCGGUCAGUAAAGGGGCGAAGUGAUUGCGGUCACUUCGACCUUGCCGACUGAGGCACGCAUGUCAGGAUAAGGUGUCAGACGAUCCCCGCAUUAAAUGCGCAUGUGAUAUGGUCGGUUGGUAGGGCGAUCCGGCCGAGGUCGCUGCACGACAAAGUCUGCCCGAGCUGGGCUUCGGGUGAGCCGAGGGUGCGUCUGCUGACUGAGGGGACCCUCGGGCGAGGCGCGAAUCUGUCCGGGACUACUGUUCCCGCUCGAGGCUGGGCUCACAGCAGCAGUAUUAGCAGUUUCUGGGGAUUUUUCGGGAGUAAUUAGUGUUAAUCAGUAUGAGAAUCAUGUAGGGCUUUUUCUUAUAUUUCCAACAAGUACUUAUGCGCUCAAAUCGGAAUUAUAUUUUAAAAGUUAUCGCUGUUUGAAUCCGAGUAUGUCGCUGCCCAAAUCAGAAAAAAAAACAGAUUGCAGGGUUUAUUUUGUGGACCGUUUAGAGGUAAUUAGAUGUUAGAAUUUAAUCAUGAGUCGUAUACAAAACUUGUGGGAAAUUUUAUGUAGUUGUCUCUAAAGUUUUUGUUUGACACCACUGCUGUCCUAAUUUUUAAGUUAUGGAAUUGUUAAGCAGCGCCGCUGCAGUUUGGUUAGUGAGGGGAGAAUUGUUACCACGGCGGGGUUGAGAUUGCGCGUAGGUGCGGUGUUGUCUUUGAGUUUUUUUAUGUGAAUUUGGUGCACUAAGUUGGGUGUCAAAAACAGGUGGUGGACUUCCGGAUCGUUCUUAGGGAUUUUGCCCAAACUUCGGUGAAGGCAAGUAAAACUGUGAUGGUUAUUCCGUCUGUCAGAUGAGGAAUCUUAUACUUGUUUAUGUUGUGCUAUCAUGUUCAAAUUCAUAUUUUCUUUUGAGUACCAUCAUUUGAAAAUGUUCAUGUUUCAUGGAUUUCGUAUGUUGAGUUUGAGGUUUGAUUAUGUUACUCAAGUGGUUAUUAUGUGAAUGGUUGGAAGUAAAUGCCUAGCACAUUUUUAUUUGGGAAGAACUUAUGAUGUUGUCAUGCAUAAUGCACUCAUCAUCCAUUGCAUUGAAGUUUCGUCGCGAUCUUAUGGUCCGACCGUACCGGUACAUUGAGCAUCAUAUGUUGCCCGAGAAGGGGUAUGGUGCAGCUUCAUAUCCUUAGAGAUAUGGAGGCAGAAGUCAUUAUUGCAUUUGUAGCCAUGUGCAUUCAUGGGAGAGGUGUUGAAUCUAUUAUGUGGAUGUGGAUAAUUUGGACUUGUGCAUGGUGAUUCUACUUGGCGUUGAGCUUUUAGUUACUUGUUUACUUGCUGCAAUUUACUGUUCAAAAGAAAAGAAAGAAGUCAUGAACACGUGGUUGUGUAAGCACAGUUGAUUUACAAUGUCCUAUUUGUUGUUGUUAUGUUUACUUGCUGAGAUGUGUUAUCUCACAUCUUGCAUUGUUUUAUGCAGGCACCUAAUUUCUGAUUUGGGAAUAGAGGGAUGUAGCAGCACGGCCACUACACCUUUAAUAAAGGAACCACCAUUUAAUAAUGUUGUUAAUCAGAGUUGGACAAGUCUAGUGAAUUGCUUUGUUCUUGGUUGAGCGUUUAUUUUGGGGUGGGCUGAGUUUCUUAUCCCAUUUGUUUUGCUUCAGUUGGGUCAUAAUUAAGUUUUACCACUUUUGCAUUUCAGUUUCUACUAUGUGAAUUAUAUGUCUUUAUAUCUUGUAUGAGCUUCAUGUUUCCCCUCCUUGUUAUGCUAGUUUUCAAAGGAGGUGCUGCCGGAUUUUGCUAU